rnacentral:rRNA from 1 species
CUACGGGAGGCAGCAGGGGGGAAUAUUGGACAAUGGGCGCAAGCCUGAUCCAGCAAUGCCGCGUGAGUGAAGACGGCCUUAGGGUUGUAAAACUCUUUCGCUAGGGAAGAUAAUGACUGUACCUAGUAAAGAAGUCCCGGCUAACUCCGUGCCAGCAGCCGCGGUAAUACGGAGGGGACUAGCGUUGUUCGGAACUACUGGGCGUAAAGAGUUCGUAGGCGGACUGACAAGUUAGAGGUGAAAUCCCAGGGCUCAACCCUGGAACUGCCUUUAAAACUGUCAGUCUAGAGACCGGAAGAGGUUAGGGGAAUACCUAGUGUAGAGGUGAAAUUCGUAGAUAUUAGGUGGAACACCAGUGGCGAAGGCGCCUAACUGGUCCGGUACUGACGCUGAGGAACGAAAGCGUGGGGAGCAAACAGGAUUAGAUACCCGAGUAGUC